GAAUAUCACCGUGGUGUGCUGCUGUCUGCCAAUCGUACCAAAAGCGUAGCAUGGAAUUUAACUCAGCUGUAAAUUCUGCCCCACGUCGGCCACGUCAGGCUCCUUGAACAGUUUCGUCCCUUAUUAAGGAAUAUCACAGUGGUGUGCUGGUGUCUGCCAAUCAAAAACGUAGCAUGAGAUUUAACGCAGCUGGAUCCUGCCCCACGUCAGGCUACUCGAACACUUUUGUCCCUUGAGAUGGAGGGAGAGUACUAGAUGCCGACAUGGACCUGCUCUGUGUCGCCGUCACAGGAACAGUACAAGCUGUGCAGACCGACUCGCCACUCUGAACGACUUUGGAAAGCGAAGAAUUGGCACAUGCUCUGUAUAUUUCUAAUCUUUUUUUGUAUUAAACUCCGUUUACAAAAUUUUGGUGGUUA